rnacentral:rRNA from 1 species
AACGAACGCUGGCGGCAUGCCUAACACAUGCAAGUCGAACGAGAUCUUCGGGUCUAGUGGCGCGCGGGUGCGUAACGCGUGGGAAUCUGCCCUUUGGUUCGGAAUAACAGUUGGAAACGACUGCUAAUACCGGAUGAUGACGAAAGUCCAAAGAUUUAUCGCCAGAGGAUGAGCCCGCGUAGGAUUAGCUAGUUGGUGUGGUAAAGGCGCACCAAGGCGACGAUCCUUAGCUGGUCUGAGAGGAUGAUCAGCCACACUGGGACCGAGACACGGCCCAGACUCCUACGGGAGGCAGCAGUGGGGAAUAUUGGACAAUGGGCGAAAGCCUGAUCCAGCAAUGCCGCGUGAGUGAUGAAGGCCUUAGGGUUGUAAAGCUCUUUUACCCGGGAUGAUAAUGACAGUACCGGGAGAAUAAGCUCCGGCUAACUCCGUGCCAGCAGCCGCCGUAACAC